rnacentral:rRNA from 1 species
GUGAUAUUUUUAAACGGCCGCGGUAUCCUAACCGUGCAAAGGUAGCAUAAUCACUUGUCCCCUAAAUAGGGACUAGUAUGAACGGCUAAAUGAGGACUUUACUGUCUCUUGCCGCCAGUCAAUGAAACUGAUCUUCCAGUUCAAAAGCUGGAAUAACAUCAUAAGACAAAAAGACCCUGUGGAGCUUUUAAACCAAAACCACCAAAAAUUGUCCACUUGGUUUUUAGUUGGGGCGACUUCGGGGUAAAACCAAACCCCCGAAACAAUGGAACCUACCAUAUUAAGGCCAACACGCCAAAAUAAUUUAAAACUUGACCCAGAUCUUCUAAUUUAUCUGACCAAUGAACCAAGUUACCCCAGGGAUAACAGCGCCAUCUUCUUUUAGAGUCCAUAUCGACAAGAAGGUUUACGACCUCGAUGUUGGAUCAGGACACCCCAAUAGUGCAGCCGCUAUUAACGGUUCGUUUGUUCAACGAUUAAUAGUCCUACGUGAUCU